CACCCGCCUCCACCCCGCCCCGAGGAUAGGGCCGAGGUGGGGCGGCUGGGGCGCUGGGAGGUGAAGGAGGAGCAAUGCGCAGAGGCCAGGACGACCCAGGGUCCUACAGCACGGCACCCAGCUCCGGAAAAGGUCACGCGGACAAGUCGCUUCACCUCUCAGAGCCUCAAAGUCCUCAUUCAAAUUAAAAUUCAAAUAUUACGCCUUUGGAAAAUGUUUACAGUUCUGACUCUCCCACAGAAACACAUACCUGUCACCUGCCUCCCACCCCCACAAGGACGCCAGAGUCAGGUCAACCAUCUCUUUCCUGUCAGCCAAGAUGCCAUUUUUCAGGCAAAACUAAAUCCCUUUUGCUUCACGUGACAGUCCAGAAAUGUUUCGUUUUGUUUGUAAAAGCAACCCUGCUUAUCGGCAUCUAACUCUGCUGGGGGCCGGCAUGAGCUACCAGAGAACGAAAACUACGGCCCAACUGACUCCACGAAGCUCACUCAGGACUGAGGAAGUAAAAACGGCAUAACCAGAGGCGCGCCCGACACCCCAGAACAAGCACGGACUAUUCUGGUUUAGGAACAGUCGCGGGGCAGCCCUGGAGUGAGUGUAAGGGGCAGAGCCGCGGGCACCACAAAGUGCGGGGUCGACGGCCGACAGGGAGCGGCCGCGGGGCACGCCCUCCCCGCAAACGCCCGGAAAGUCCGCGGGCGGCCUGCGCGCUCAGGAGACCUGGUCUAGGCGCAGGCCAGGCGCGCAGUGGGGAACCCCGCGGCGGGGACCCAGCGGUGCCUGCCCAGCGGCCCCGGCUCCCAGGUGCGCGUUCAGGACGAGCAGCGUUUCCCGGUCGCGGCGCGGGCACAGCCGGAGGGCCCCGCGCCGUGGGCUGGACUCACUGGCCGACCGCCUGCAGGCCACCGCCCGCGGAUGCCGAGAACCGCAGCUGCACAAGAACCCCCUUGGGAAGCUCAACCUCAGCAGCCUAGGCACUCCCUCCACUCAAUGGCAGAAGGAGGCUUCCUGUUGCCUGGGCUCCCCCACGCCCUGUGGUGGGCACUGAAGCCGCCCCACAGGCCUAUCAGGCACUCACUGCUGCAGGUACGGACAGCUUUCCUGCCUUGCGUGAUCAGCCCCCCACCCCUGCUGCAGGCCUCCUCUCAAGGACUCUGGAUGGAUUCCCCCUACUCUGAACCUGUACUGGUAUUUGUCGUUAAAAAGGUAUCACCGCUGAAAGAGAUGCUUAGAAGACCAUCCCCAUAGUUUAACACUGGUUGCUUUUUUUUUUUUUUUUUGAGACAGUCUUACUCUGUUGCCCAGGCUGGAGUGCAGUGGCUCAACCUCCGCCUCCCAGGUUCAAGCUAUUCUCGUGCCUCAGCCUCCCAAGUAGCUGGGAUUACAGGCAUGCGCCACCAUGCCCAGCUAAAUUUUGUAUUUUUAGUAGAGACAGGGUUUCACCAUGUUGGCCAGGCUGGUUUCAAACACCUGACCUCAAGUGAUCUGCCCGCCUCAGCCUGCCAAAGUGCUGUGAUUACAGGCGUGAGCCACCACGCCCGGACUUUUUUUUUUUUUUUGAAACUUGGUCUUGCUCUGUCACCCAGGCUGGCAUGCAGCAGUGCCAUCACAGCUCACUACAGCCUCGACUUCCUGUGCUCAAGCAAUCCUCCUGCCUCAGCCUCCUGAGUAGCUGGGACCACAGGCACAUACCACCACAGCUAGCUAAAGUUUUGUAUUUUUGGGAGAGAUGGGGAUUUGCCACGUUGCCCAGGCUUUUUUUUUUUUUUCCUAUAAAGAAUAUUCUUGUGGCAAACACUGGUUGUUUCUAAGACGUGGUGUUUCAGAUACUACUUUAACUUUCUUCUCUGUUCUUCUGUUUUUCCCUUUAUUAUUUUUAUUUUUUAAUUGUGGUAAAAUAUAUAUAACAUAAAACUCACCGUCUCAAUUAUUAUUAUUUUUUUGAGACAGGGUCUCACUCUGUCAACCAAGGCUAGAGUACAGUGGUGUGAUCUCAGCUCACUGAAACCUCCACCUCCCAGGUUCAAGUGAUUCUCCUGCCUUAGCCUCCCGAGUAGCUGUGACUACAGGCGCACACCACCAUGCCUGGCUAAUUUUUGUUUUUUUUGUUUUUUUUUUUUUUGGUAAAGAUAGGAUUUCACUGUGUCAGCCAGGCUGGCAUCUCAACUAUUUUUAGUGUACAGUCCAGAGGUGUUAAGUACAUUCACAUUGUUGUACAACCAUCACCACCCCCAUGUCCAGAAAUCUUUUCAUCCUGCACAACCAAAACUUGGUACCCAUAAAAGAAUAAUGCUCUACUCCCUCCUCCCGCAGCCGCUGGCAAUCACCAUUCAACUUUCUGUCUCUACGGAUUUGGUGACUCCAGGUCCCUCAUAGGAAUGAUCACACAGUCCUUUUACUCAGCAUAAUGUCUUUGAGGUAGCACAUACUGUAGCACGUGUCAGAAAUUCUUUCUUUUUAAGGCUGCCUAACAUUCUGUUUUAUGUAUAUACCAUGUUUUUGUUGAUCCACGCAUCUGUUGAUGGACACUUGGGUUGCUUCCACCUUUUAGUUAUUGCAAACAAUGCUGCUAAGAACAUGGGCGCACAAAUAUCUUUUCAAGUCCCUGCUUUCAAUUAUUUUGGGUAUAUAACCAGAAGUGGAAAUACUGGAUCAUAUUAUACUUUUCUUUUUAAGG